CUACAUGAACCGAUGCAAUUUAUUUAUAAUGCUUGCAUUUGUCUUUUUUUAUUUCUCUAUGCAUAUAAUGAAAUUGGGUUUGAAACUUUUCAAUGUGGUAGUCACACGUCUUAUGAACCUACUCAAUUUAUUUCGAAAUUCUUCAAACUUUUUAGGGAUGCUACCGUGCGUUCGUAGCACGAUAGCACCUAAGGGGUUGGGAGCACCAGAUACUAUCUCGUUUUAGUACGAGAACAUCGCAACUAUACCUCUGAUCCUAAAUUCUUGCGUGAUUUUAGUCCAAAUUUGAACUACGGAGUAGUUUUUUUGAUUUUAGUACCAUUUUUUUUGUAUUUUGCAACUUUUUGGACUAAAAUGCUCUCAACUCUCAACUUGUUGGGCACGGGUGCAAUUACCUCUUUUUAAGAUCUUCGAGUAGAAACCUCCGUGUAUUUUUUUUCGAAAAGGAGGAAAUAAACCCUGCCUCUGCAUCAAUCGAUACACACAACCAUUAAUUAUUAAAACAUUCUCAAUACAAGUCUCAAAGUUACAUCUGGUAAAAUAAAAAAACUGAAAGAAACACAUCAAGAUCCUUCCAGCCUAAAGCCAGCGCACCAUCCAAACCGGCUAAAGAGUUCCGUGCGACCAUCUCUAAACAGUUGCACCCCGAUUCCAUAAACCCCUGUGCCUCUGUCUGAAACAGUAGGGACCAUUUACGGAGCUAGUGAGACGCCC
rnacentral:lncRNA from 1 species